rnacentral:rRNA from 1 species
AGUCGUAACAAGGUCUCCGUUGGUGAACCAGCGGAGGGAUCAUUACCGAGUUUACAACUCCCAAACCCCUGUGAACAUACCUUAUGUUGCCUCGGCGGAUCAGCCCGCGCCCCGUAAAAAGGGACGGCCCGCCGCAGGAACCCUAAACUCUGUUUUUAGUGGAACUUCUGAGUAUAAAAAACAAAUAAAUCAAAACUUUCAACAACGGAUCUCUUGGUUCUGGCAUCGAUGAAGAACGCAGCAAAAUGCGAUAAGUAAUGUGAAUUGCAGAAUUCAGUGAAUCAUCGAAUCUUUGAACGCACAUUGCGCCCGCCAGUAUUCUGGCGGGCAUGCCUGUUCGAGCGUCAUUUCAACCCUCAAGCCCAGCUUGGUGUUGGGAGCUGCAGUCCUGCUGCACUCCCCAAAUACAUUGGCGGUCACGUCGAGCUUCCAUAGCGUAGUAAUUUACAUAUCGUUACUGGUAAUCGUCGCGGCCACGCCGUUAAACCCCAACUUCUGAAUGUUGACCUCGGAUCAGGUAGGAAUACCCGCUGAAC